rnacentral:rRNA from 1 species
UUGACCUCGGAUCAGGUAGGACUACCCGCUGAACUUAAGCAUAUCAAUAAGCGGAGGAAAAGAAACCAACAGGGAUUGCCCCAGUAACGGCGAGUGAAGCGGCAACAGCUCAGAUUUGGAAUCUGGCCCCUAGGGCCCGAGUUGUAAUCUGGAGAGGAUGCUUCUGGCGCGGCGCCUUCCGAGUUCCCUGGAACGGGACGCCGGAGAGGGUGAGAGCCCCGUACGGUUGGACGCCUAGCCUUUGUGAAGCUCCUUCGACGAGUCGAGUAGUUUGGGAAUGCUGCUCAAAAUGGGAGGUAAAUUUCUUCUAAAGCUAAAUACCGGCCAGAGACCGAUAGCGCACAAGUAGAGUGAUCGAAAGAUGAAAAGCACUUUGAAAAGAGGG